GACGAACGCUGGCGGCGUGCUUAACACAUGCAAGUCGAACGGAAAGGCCCUGCUUUUGUGGGGUGCUCGAGUGGCGAACGGGUGAGUAACACGUGAGUAACCUGCCCUUGACUUUGGGAUAACUUCAGGAAACUGGGGCUAAUACCGGAUAGGAGCUCCUGCUGCAUGGUGGGGGUUGGAAAGUUUCGGCGGUUGGGGAUGGACUCGCGGCUUAUCAGCUUGUUGGUGGGGUAGUGGCUUACCAAGGCUUUGACGGGUAGCCGGCCUGAGAGGGUGACCGGCCAAAUUGGGGCGGAGGUGCAGCCGGGCCUCCAGCGGGAGGCAGAGGUGGGGAAUAUGGAACAGUGGGCGGAGGCCGAAUGCAGCACCGCCGCGUGCGGGAUGACGGCCUUCGUUUUGAAACCCGCUUUCGCCGGUCACGAAGCGGGAGUGAGGGUAAGGGAAAAAGAAGCACCGGCUAACUCCGGC
rnacentral:rRNA from 1 species